rnacentral:tRNA from 1 species
GCGGCACUAGCUCAGUUGGUAGAGCGCGACCUUGUCGAGGUCACGAGUUCGAGCCUCGUGUGCCGCUCCA